GGAAAGACUAGUUGCAUCUGUUCCGCGUGCCGUGGUUCGAUUGCGCAGCCUUCCCGGUGAAUACGGUCGUUGGUAUUCACAGGCAGCGUUGUCCGAUUACAGUACGCGUAGCGCGCUUGUAUAUAAACUCGCCAUGGCUUCUAGAUUCAGCAUCAAUUGACGGACGAAGAGUUCUUCAGAUAAAACAUGAUCAGGACCAAGACCCUCCUCGUUGGGCUCCUCGUCCUGGCCCUGGUGGUCACCAUCGCCACGGCACAGUUUGGAGGCUUUGGUGGCGGCGGCGGGCGCGGAUUCGGCGGUGGCGGACGCGGCUUUGGUGGUGGACGUGGAUUCGGUGGCGGGCGUGGAUUUGGUGGCUUCAAUGGAUGAUUCCUGGCUGCCAAGCUAACGUAUUACUCUAUGAUUUGGCAGCGUCGAAGCCAUAUGACCAACCAAAUGCUGUGAUAUUAAAGAGGCCUGCAAAAUGCGGCUGGAACUGUGAUCGCGGACCUUCGAGAAGUUGACGUGCCUCUGUUGAACAUGAACUUGAAUAAACAUUGCCUUCAUUGACUGG